rnacentral:rRNA from 1 species
AUUGAACGCUGGCGGCAUGCUUUACACAUGCAAGUCGAACGGUAACAGGCCGCAAGGUGCUGACGAGUGGCGAACGGGUGAGUAAUGCAUCGGAACGUGCCCAGUCGUGGGGGAUAACGCAGCGAAAGCUGCGCUAAUACCGCAUACGAUCUAUGGAUGAAAGCGGGGGACCGUAAGGCCUCGCGCGAUUGGAGCGGCCGAUGUCAGGUUAGGUAGUUGGUGGGGUAAAGGCUCACCAAGCCAACGAUCUGUAGCUGGUCUGAGAGGACGACCAGCCACACUGGGACUGAGAAACGGCCCAGACUCCUACGGGAGGCAGCAGUGGGGAAUUUUGGACAAUGGGCGCAAGCCUGAUCCAGCAAUGCCGCGUGCAGGAAGAAGGCCUUCGGGUUGUAAACUGCUUUUGUACGGAACGAAAAGGCUCUGGUUAAUACCUGGGGCUCAUGACGGUACCGUAAGAAUAAGCACCGGCUAACUACGUGCCAGCCGCCGCCGUAACAC